rnacentral:rRNA from 1 species
UUUCCGGUUGAUCCUGCCGGACCUGACUGCUAUCGGAUUGAUACUAAGCCAUGCGAGUCUUUGUAGUAAUACAAGGCAGACGGCUCAGUAACACGUAGUCAACCUACCCUAUGGACGAGAAUAAUCUCGGGAAACUGAGCAUAAUUCUUGAUAGAUCAUAAUGCCUGGAAUGGUUUAUGGUUAAAAUGAUUCGUCGCCAUAGGAUGGGAUUGCGGCCUAUCAGCUUGUUGGUGAGGUAAUGGCCCACCAAGGCGAUUACAGGUACGGGCUCUGAGAGGAGAAGCCCGGAGAUGGGUACUGAGACACGGACCCAGGCCCUAUGGGGCGCAGCAGGCGAGAAAACUUUGCAAUGUGCGAAAGCACGACAAGGUUAAUCCGAGUGAUUUCUGCUAAAGAAAUCUUUUGCCAGUCGUAAAACCACUGGUGAAUAAGGGGUGGGCAAGUUCUGGUGUCAGCCGCCGCGGUAAAACCAGCACCUCAAGUGGUCAGGAUGAUUAUUGGGCCUAAAGCAUCCGUAGCCGGCUUUGUAAGUUUUCGGUUAAAUCCAUGUGCUUAACGCAUGGGCUGCCGAAAAUACUGCAUGGCUAGGGAGUGGGAGAGGUAGACGGUACUCAGUAGGAAGGGGUAAAAUCCUUUGAUCUAUUGAUGACCACCUGCGGCGAAGGCGGUCUACCAGAACACGUUCGACGGUGAGGGAUGAAAGCUGGGGGAGCAAACCGGAUUAGAUACCCGGGUAGUCCCAGCUGUAAACGAUGCAGACUCGAUGAUGCAUUGGCAUAAUAGCCAUUGCAGUGUCGCAGGGAAGCCGUUAAGUCUGCCGCCUGGGAAGUACGUACGCAAGUAUGAAACUUAAAGGAAUUGGCGGGGGAGCACCACAAGGGGUGAAGCCUGCGGUUCAAUUGGAGUCAACGCCGGG